CUCAAAAUAAACCAUUUACUUGUUUUGCUGUAGCUGUGGUAACAAGAUAGAGACCAUGAACUGCCCAAUUUGCUAAAAACAUGAAUGUGACAGGAGGGUGUGUGGUCCAGUGGUUAAAGAAAAGGGCUUGUAACCAGGAGGUUCCCAGUUCAAAUCCCGGCUCAGCCACUGACUCGCUGUGUGACCCUGAGCAAGUUACUUAACCUCCUUCUCCUCCGUCUUUCGGGUGAGACGUAGUUGUAAGUGACUCUACAGCUGAUGCAUAGUUCACACACCCUAGUCUCUGUAAGUCAUCUUGGAUAAAGGCGCCUGCUAAAUAAACAAAUAAUAAGAAAGCAUAACUGUAGCCCCUCUUAUAAAUCUUACACAGUUUCAUCCUCAUUCUUCUGAAAUCAUGGCUUCCCACCCUGCUCAAUUCACAGAACCGAUUACAACUAAACAUGUCUGUUUCUAUAAGAGUGGAGAUCCCCAGUUCAGCGGGCUAAAGAUGAUCAUCAACAGUCGCACCUUCAAGACUUUUGAUGCCCUGCUGGACAGCUUGUCUAAAAGAGUUCCUUUACCUUUUGGAGUGAGGAACAUCACUACCCCACGUGGAAUCCAUGGCAUUAGCACUCUUGAUGAGCUAGAAGAUAGAAAAGCAUACAUUUGCUCUGACCAAAAGAAAGUAAAGCCUAUAGACUUGGCAGUGGCAAGUAAACCCCCCAAGCCUUGGAAUUCCACGAGGCCAGUCAGUGCCCAUCGGCGUGCCAUCCAGUUAAACAAGCAGAACGAGGGCCAGCUGUUUCAGCGGAAGAAUUCUGUGGUGGUACGCACCCCCAGGAAAAUUGUGGUCUUCAAAAAUGGGGAUGCUGGAAUCAAGCACACUCUGAUGCUGCAAAAGAAAACAGCACAGACUUUUGAGUCAAUUCUUGAUCUUGUGACUGAGGUGAUGCAGUUUCGAGUCUUAAAGCUCUACACACCAGAUGGAAGGCGGGUUGAUGGUCUUCAGGCUCUGAUUCUGUGCUCUGGAGUUGUAGUAGCAGCAGGCCGAGAACCUUUCAAAGCUAGAAAAUAUGACACCCAAAGACUGAGUCUGCCUACCAAAUUGCCGGGAAUUUCCAACCGUGUAAAACCAAAAACCAUCAACAAGAUCCAGCAAAGGAAUUGGAGAAAGAAAUCAGUCUCCAACAUAAGGUCUCGAAAGUUCUCUUUUUCUUCAGAAAAGUAUUUCUUGAACAAACUCAGUAAUUCUAUAGGCAGCUUAUGUAACAUUCCUGACACCCCUAAGGGAUCCUUGGAAACAUGCACAUGUACUGUCGAGGACAUUCCUUUAAUGCCUCUAGAUGACGACAUAGAAAAAUCUAUUCACAUAAACCAAGAUGGCACCAUGACAGUAGAGAUGAAGGUUAGGUUAAUGAUAAAAGAAGAGGAGACAAUUCAAUGGAGCACCACAGUGAGUCGAUCCAGUGUGCUCAACCAUGUAAAAAAACAAGUAGACCCUGAGGCUGAUUUACCAGAUUACAAUACUCUUCCUUCUAAAGCUAAAGCAGAGGUAAUGUAUUUGGAGGACUAUAACUCAAACGAGGAAAGCGAUCUCUCGUUUAAAAGAAUGAAGGCAAUUAGUGGAACAAAACAAGCAAAUGAAAUGAGUAUUGUUGACAAAGAAAGCCAACAAUGUGACACAUGGCAAGAUCCACAUUAUGAUGUCAACUUAGUUGAAACUGAAGAAGACAACAAUAAGCAAAUAUUUAAGAGACCCCUAACAGCUGACCCCCGGCAGAGCAGAAGAAAGCAGGCAUCUAUGGAAAGCAUUAAAACAGGGUCUGAAAGUGAAAUACACAAAAACUUAUUUGGCACAUAUUCUUACAGUGAGGAGAAGGAAAAUGGUGAAAGAAAAGGAGAAUGCUGCACGAUCAGCCAUUGCAGUAGCAGCUCUGUACCUAAGCCAAGGAAAGGAGAUAAUUGUGAAAUUAAUAACAGUGAUCUACAUUUCAAAUGUAGGACUUCAGGUGUGGCACAGCUACUGACACUCCACAACAGAGAUGAAGUAACAGAACGGGUCAUACACCUUGAACAGGAGAACUGUCAUGAUAAUUACUUUGCAAAUCAUCAAGUGAUGUGUGCCAGACUAGCUUCAUCAGGCCAGGCCAUCUGUUUAUCAAGGAACAAUUGUGAAAUGCAUUACAAGAGACCGUCCACUGCUUCAGAAUCCUUUAGUGAGAGAAAACAUGAGUGUGGUUCCUCAGAUUUCAUGUAUGCAGAGGAUUCAUUGGCAUAUAAGUCAUACCAGAAGGUACUAGACUCCAGUUUAGACUGUUCUUCUGCAUACACUGUGUCACAAAUUAAUAACACUGCACCAGUGGAUAACAUGUUCCUCAGUCAGUCUCCACCUGCUGUUAAAAGGAAAAAGAAGAAAUCAAACAAACGAAAAGUCAAAAAGACUAACCAAUCUGAUGGUGUGAGCUCAUAUAUAGUAACUGAGAAAAGCAAUGACCUUGUUGUUGAUCAAAAUGAACAAAAUGCAAUAUCCUACUGUGAAGAAUCUGCUCAGUGUGCAGAAACAUGUGCACAUGAUGACCAAAGACCACUUAAAAUGAAAAAACGUAACAAGAAAAAGACAGAAGUAGAACAUGAACCCAGCAACAACUCUUCUGUAUCCACUGUGUCUGAAAAUACAUACGUGUUGAAGGACUCUGGGGAGAGCUCUCAAGAAGCAGUAUCUGAGAAAGAGUUAAAUUGCAAUGCUGCCAGUCCAGAGUCACAAGAUUCAGAGACUGAUCAAGAUCAUGAAAAUAGCACUCAGAUUAUAAUUAAGAAAAGUGUUUUACCACCAAUCGGUUCAUCAGCAACAGACAAAAAGAAGCACAAAAAACAGAAAAGGGAGAAAAGGAAUGAACAAGAUAAGUCUGAUGAGGAAACAGCAAGCAGGGGAGAAGAACUUCUGCAAUAUAAUGAAAGCACUUCCUCACUGGGCAUGUCUAAUGUGGACAAAGCUCCCCCAUUAAUAAAGGAUUUUGAGAAAAAAUGGCUGGGAGAAGUACAGUCAGAAUCUACAUUACCUCAUAAUGAAUUCACUGAAGCUAAUGCAGAAACGAGAAAAAAAGCAAAAGUUGUAUUUCAGAUUGGAACAACAGCAAUUGCUCCCAAAAUGGAGAGGCUGGAGGUGGAGGAAGUACCAGAAGAAGAAUCUCCUGUAAGACAAGAACCACCUGAAACACCUGACCAACCCACUAAAGUAAAGAGAGACACCACACACACAGCUGAAGCUGCUAUUCAAACUGAAUUGGGAAAAAUCGAUGCAAAUAUGCCAGCAGGACAACACAAUACCAGGCCAGUACUGGAGCAACUACAUUCUUUGGUUAAAUCAAUCAAACAAAUACCAACCCUCAGACGUCCUUUAGGCCUGGAGAAAUCAUACAGCAUGCCAGACUUUUCUGCACAUAUUGAUUCAUAUUUUGAUUUUCCCUCCAAAGUCCUUCUUACAUUGCUAACAAUCAUGACAAUAAAGGAAGGUGUUGGCAGCUUGAACUACAGUGGGACAUUGGUAAAUAGUAGUAGAUGUGCAGAGGUCCUCACACUCAUGGAGUCCCUUAAGAGACUGGCUAGCAUUGAGGAUGCUAAGGAAGUAAAGGCUAGUGUCUCAGGUUUGCAAACAUGUACAUUGGCCCAAUUAUUGCAGACCUGGAGGGAAAAAAAUGUUGAACAGGGUUCACACAACAUUUCUUUACCAGAUACCCCAGAUGAUAACAAAGCUUUGUUAGAGACCAGCAUGUCAACGAACAAUAUUGAAACUGAUGGUACUUUUGAUAUGCAGGAGCUGAUAGAGCAACUGGGCAUGUCUGAUGAAGUUCAGAAAGAAUUGUGUGCCAUAAUGAAAGACAACAGUGCAACAUGUUUAGAAGCACAACUUGUAGACACUGGGGAAUUAAGUGAUGUUCCAGUACCAGUAGAAGAAGAGGAAAAUGAACUAGCCUUUGAAUGCAAUGAAAAAGUAUCUUUAUGCUUGAAAAUGGAUGAGGUGCCCGAUGAAGAGAAUGCAACUUUAGGAAACACUAGUUAUAGUGAUAAAAAUGUUACUUCCGACCAGAAUGUUCCUAAUGAUAAUCUGCAGGUUUCCGAGGCAGAAGACACAACAGAGGUGACCCCUCUUUCUAAUGAGCAAAAUGUAAUUUCAGGUUUUAUGGUUGAAAAUCAGGAAGGCUCAAUAAAUGGGACAAAUGAACAUCUCUCUGUAAAUGAAGAUACUUUAGAGGAAGAAGAUGGAGUACACCCCACCCACUAUGUAUGUGACAUUGUUAAACCCUGUGAUGAUACUGUGGAGUCUACUAACAGUCAUUCAUCAGCUUCGUCUUUAGCUUUCGGUUAUGAUGCAAAACAAAACCCCAAAACGGAAUUUGUUGGAAUCAGCAUCAAUGCUUUGAAAGAGAUGUUUAUGGCCAAAAGCAUACAAGACUUCCAAUAUGGUAGCAAGAGACUACCACGUCCACUUACAUCCAACUUGUCUGACUGUAGACCAGAGAGCUCAGAAAGUGUAAAGAGUGGUUACAAAUCACAGGCAUCAUGUGAAAUGACCACAAAAAGUGGGGAAGAUGGCUCUGGAAAGCGAUCUGUUUCUACAGGCUGUGUUAGAAGAACUAUCGAAAGAUUGUAUGGGAAGACCGAAGCUAAUUUUAGACCUCCCUCUUUUAAGAGGCCCCCAUCUGUGCCUAAACAAAAACAAAAGGAAAGUCCAAGUAAAAUGAGUGCAGGUAGCAUCACAUCUUUUGAAGAAUCAAAGCCUAAAGUGAAUGGAGAUCUAUUAUACUUUCAUGCCAACGGCUCUUUUCAUUUAGAAGAAGAAACUUUGCAAGGUGUACAAAAUACUGCACAAUCUGAAACAGAUGAUGAAGUUCUGAUCAAUAAAGGUAGAUGGCUUUUUAAAGAAAACCACUUGAUUAGAAAAUCUCCACCUGAAAAUAUAGGAAUGUAUGGAAAUAUUGAAACCACGUCAACAGAAACGGCCCUGGACAACACAAGUGAAGAUGUUCCCUACUCACGUUUUGAAGGUCAUCUUCCUCCACUGGCUGUCAUAUCUUCAUCUGAACUUGAAGAACUAGCUAAAUCUACAGAACCAAAAUGCAGCUACUUUAACAUGCCUCGUGCCAGUGAUUCCGAUCCUUUCCAAGAUGAUCUGUUGAACGUUAAGAGUAAAGGCAGCCUUCUCUGCAAUGAUAGUCCCAGAAAAAAGAAGAAAGGUGACAGGCUGUCAAUGGCGACUUGUGCUGAACCUGAGCAAAAAUGGGCAGAGAGAAAUUGUAGUCUUCCCUCUUUUGCCUUGGUAGAUUUUCGAAUACCUAACAACAAAGUGCAUCCAGAACAGGAACCUCCAGUGGCUCAUGCUGUUGUUGCACAACCUUCCCGAGCAAACAGUGCCAACAGCAAAGCUCCUGAAGAUCAACACUCUUUGGAGAAGCUUCACUUGAUGUGUGGUCAGCACUGUCCAAUAUUGACAGUGACUGUGGAGCCGCUCAAUGAGGAAAAGAGGGGGUAUGUUUAUCAAAAACAAACAGACCCUGAGAACCAAUGGAUAAUGUGUUCAUUAACUAGGAAAACUACAGCACUUUACCAGCAUGCACCACAAAUGUCCAUAAAUGAUCAAAUGUCCACUAUGCAAGUGAAUGAAGAAAAUAUGACCUGCAUAAUGAGUGGAAUCAUCAAAAUGUUUGAAAUUGAAAGCAUUAAACACGAGAUUGAGAGGAUCAAGCAAGGACUUUCUUUGCAUGUGUCCAAAAAGCAGGUCAUGUAAAUAAUAUAAAAGAGUCAAAUAAUAAGUAAUACAGAAAUAUCAUUAAAUACUAGUGCCAGUGCAAAGAACAAAAGUGACAGGAAAUACAGACUUUCUUCAUUCCCAUUGUCCAGCAAACCAGGACUACAAGUAUAUAGUUAAAAAAACCUGCUAGGGUGCGGACUUUCGGCUGUGAAAACAGUAACCCUGAAUACUUCUCUGAACCCAAAUUCAACGAAGGAUUCUUACAAGGUGUUAUUUUCCAUUUUAGGAGCACCAUUUUAGAUAAAAGCAGGGAACAUUGGAGAGCUGUACAAAAUACGAAUUGGGCACAACAACUCUGGAGAAUCCCCAGGCUGGCAUUGUGAUGAGAUCUGAGAAAAAAAGCCUGAUUGCUAUCUGUGAUAUCAUGCUUCAGUUCUGAAAAGCUGCUGUGUACGAGGCCCAUGUUGUGACAGGAGACCUGUGGAAUGUUGGAACUGAAGCAAAUGUUUACAUUACUGUUUAUGGGGAAAAGGGUGACACUGGCUCAAGACAGCUUCUCAACUCCAGGAAGCUCAUUAAGUUUUGCAAGGGACAGGUCUAGUAAUAAAUGAUCAUGAAUUAAAACAGUAGAUUGUAUGUAGAAAAUAGCAAGGGGAGGCUAUGGAAACUUUUUUUUAGUAAUAAAAUGUGCAAAUUUGCUACCUUGUAUUUCUCAAUUAAUAAGUGUUUUAGUAAGUAUAAGAAAAUUGACAAUUUAAAAUUGUAUUCAUACUAGGGAUGUAUUAUUAUUAUUAUUAUUAUUAUUAUUAUUAUUAUUAUUAUUAUUAUUAUUAUUAUUAUUAAAUUAAUCACCUGCUCUAAUCAGUCAUUUUUUUUAAAUACAAGUAAAUGAGAGAGGCAUCUUGAAGCCUCUCUUAUGAAGUCACAAAUGUCUAUUGCCUUUUUGACCUGUUAAUUCACGUUUCACUGUAAUAUAUUUAUUCUAAAAUCCUGAUACAUCCUUCACACAUAAUACAGUAAUAGUAGUAAACAUUUACAUAUGUAUUAAUGACAGUGCUUUACAGCCUUGAAAUUUACAUUUAUUGUGCAAUUACUGUAAGGUGCAUGUACCUCCUGUCAUUUCUACUGCCCUCGUCUCAGAACAGCUGUACAAACCAACCAUCAAUAUCAGCAUGUCAAUAUCAUCAAAAUGUCACCUAUAAAGUGGGAGAAAUGUAUUCAAACUGCUGCGACUAUGAUGGUUUGGGCUCCUGACUCUUGACCGGAGGGUCGUGGGUUCAAUCCCAGGUGGGGGGACACUGCUGUUGUACCCUUAAGCAUGGUACUUUACCUAGAUUGCUCCAGUAAAAACCCAACUGUAUAAAUGGGUAAUUGUGUGUAAAAAAUAAAAAAAUAAAAAAAUGUAAUUGUAUGUAAAAAUAAUGUGAUAUCUUGUAACAAUUGUAAGUCACCCUGGAUAAGGGUGUCUGCUAAGAAAUUAUUAAUAAUAAUAAUAAUAAUAAUAAUAAUAAUAAUAAUAAUAAUAAUAAUAAUAAUAAUAAUAAUAAUAGAAACUUAACAAAUGAUAUGCCUCUGAGAAAUUGGAGAAACCUAAUAAAAUUAAUCAAAUUAUAAUAACAUUAUAAUUAUAACAAAUAAAAUACACCCUACUGUACACAUAAGACUGUACAUUUCUUGUAGAGUUCUCAUGACAUGAAUAAACUACUCAAGCUUUUUGGCCCAAUAAAAUUCAGCA